rnacentral:misc_RNA from 1 species
ACAAACUUGGUCAUUUAGAGGAAGUAAAAGUCGUAACAAGGUUUCCGUAGGUGAACCUGCGGAAGGAUCAUUAACGAGUUAGGGUCCCUCUGGCCCGACCUCCUAACCCUAUGUUUUCUUGACCGAUGUUGCUUUGGCGAGCCCGCCCAUUUGCGGCCGUCGGGGGACUGGCAUCGUCCCUUGGCCCGUGCUUGCCAAUAGCCUAAUUUUUCAAAACUCCUCAAUUAAACGUGUCUUGUCUAAGUAUUAAAUUGUAAUUGAAGCAAAACUUUCAACAACGGAUCUCUUGGUUCUGGCAUCGAUGAAGAACGCAGC